GCAGUUAAUAUGCCACACGGCACAAGUUACUUGAAGGCGGCUGGAAAAGGAGCUUGAGCCGAAGGCGCCACUGAAACAGUCUUUUCUGCAGCUCUUAUGCGCUGUCGCCGAUGUUUUAGGCGACUCAUCUUGAGCACCCGGAUCAUCGUUUUGCUUGCGCCGGUCAUUUCCCACAGGCCACCUGGUACAUUCGCAUCCCCGCCAUCGGCCCGCUGCCGGCGCGCUGCGGUCUCCCGCAGCAAGUCCCCCCGGCGGAUGUUGACGCCGGCACCCCUCCGAAACACGCAGCCCUGUGCUCGAGGAAAGGGGAACGACAGUUAGGCGUCUCGGCACCAUCCAACCGAAGGGACGCAAGAAGCAGCGGCAGGGACGUAAAUGGUCUGCGAGUCCAAGGGAGGCUGCAGGUGGCGGAAGUCCUGCAUGGAAACAGGUGGACGCCGGACACCCUGGCUGGGAGGAGGUCUGGUCUCAGGCUGAACCCCGGUGUCAGAAUUCUGAUGGGCGGCUGGUUCCGCCUUCAAAGGAUCGAAAGGGAUGGACCCCGAAGUAAACAGUAAAAAGUACCAGUUCUGUAAGGAUGUGGUUGUUGACGCAACGUGAGCUGCGGAAUGCGAGGGAAAAGCUCGUCCGCAGGACAGCACCGGGCUACGUUCCACAUUUGGGCUCAUUUGAAAAUCGGGACGGGAUCCUGCAGGACGAUCACGGAGCUGAAGUGUCAUGGAAGGGCCCCCCCUUUGGUUUCGGUUCCAAUCGGUAUCGAAAUAUAACUCCUCUUUCAUACAGUUGUACUUUUCAGUUUUUUAAUUCUUUCGUAUUGUGUGAAUUUGCAUGUCUUUUAAUGCUCAUUCACACUAUAUUACUGUGUAGUAUUGUAGUGCAGAAUGCUACUUUAUAUGCAUAUUUUAGUGGUUUGUGUUGAGUUUUAUCUUGGGUGCUUCAUUUCUUCACUUACUGGGAUUGAAGUAGCUUUGUGCACUAGUCAUUAACUUUAUUAAUGUGGAGUUAUCAUUUUUCAUAUUAAGUACUGAAAAAGGGGUUUUUGUAAAGUCUCAUUUUUAAUAGCUGCUUGUAUAAGUGCCCACUGCCCAAGCUGCAAUGGGGAGUCGCAGAAACCGUGUAUUCAGGUUUUUUUUUACGUGACCUUAGGAGGCGUUUAUCGUCAGCGGCUCCAGUGUUUUUACUGCGAAAUGUACUUGUUUGCUAAGUUCUGUGCACUUUGGAGAAAGAUGUCUGGUAAAUAAACAAAUUAAAUGCAACAGACUGAAAAUAGUCAGCCAAAUCCAACAACUGUGUGACAAACAUUUAUUGCAUUUAAAAAUAUUACAUUAUGUGCUUUUCACGGCGUAGUAUUCAAAAAGAUUUCAGAAAACAUGUUUCCCUUCUAUGCAUAUGAAUAACAUUUGCAAUUUAAAGGAAUUGAAAUCAGGAGAAUCAACUUUGAAUCCAUAUGGAUUUCAUUUUAACACAGUAAAACAGUCACUCUCGCCAUUUCACUCCUGUAGCAGGACUUCACCUUCUCAAGAUCUUAGAAACUUGUGCCACCUGGUAACCAGUUUUAAAAAAAAAAAAAAAAAAAAAAAAAAAAAAAAAAAAAAAAAAAAA